CGCCCUUGAGUUUGAUCAUGGCUCAGAGUGAACGCUGGCGGUAGGCCUAACACCUGCAAGUCGAACGGCAGCACAGUAAGAGCUUGCUCUUAUGCGUGGCGAGUGGCGGACGGGUGAGGAAUACAUCGGAAUCUACUCUGUCGUGGGGGAUAACGUAGGGAAACUUACGCUAAUACCGCAUACGACCUACGGGUGAAAGCAGGGGAUCUUCGGACCUUGCGCGAUUGAAUGAGCCGAUGUCGGAUUAGCUAGUUGGCGGGGUAAAGGCCCACCAAGGCGACGAUCCGUAGCUGGUCUGAGAGGAUGAUCAGCCACACUGGAACUGAGACACGGUCCAGACUCCUACGGGAGGCAGCAGUGGGGAAUAUUGGACAAUGGGCGCAAGCCUGAUCCUUUUUUUUCGCGUGGGUGAAGAAGGCCUUCGGGUUGUAAAGCCCUUUUGUUGGGAAAGAAAUCCAGCUGGCUAAUACCCGGUUGGGAUGACGGUACCCAAAGAAUAAGCACCGGCUAACUUCGUGCCAGCAGCCGCGGUAC
rnacentral:rRNA from 1 species